rnacentral:rRNA from 1 species
AAUAGAUACCCUGGUAGUCCACGCCGUAAACGAUGAGUGCUAAGUGUUAGAGGGUUUCCGCCCUUUAGUGCUGCAGCUAACGCAUUAAGCACUCCGCCUGGGGAGUACGGCCGCAAGGCUGAAACUCAAAGGAAUUGACGGGGGCCCGCACAAGCGGUGGAGCAUGUGGUUUAAUUCGAAGCAACGCGAAGAACCUUACCAGGUCUUGACAUCCUCUGACAACCCUAGAGAUAGGGCUUUCCCCUUCGGGGGACAGAGUGACAGGUGGUGCAUGGUUGUCGUCAGCUCGUGUCGUGAGAUGUUGGGUUAAGUCCCGCAACGAGCGCAACCCUUGAUCUUAGUUGCCAGCAUUCAGUUGGGCACUCUAAGGUGACUGCCGGUGACAAACCGGAGGAAGGUGGGGAUGACGUCAAAUCAUCAUGCCCCUUAUGACCUGGGCUACACACGUGCUACAAUGGAUGGUACAAAGGGCUGCAAACCUGCGAAGGUAAGCGAAUCCCAUAAAGCCAUUCUCAGUUCGGAUUGCAGG